GUCUACUCCCCAGCCUCUGCCUUCACCAGCAGAGUAGACCUUGGCCCUUUGUCCUAAUAGCCGUGUCUUCAUGGAUUUCUUAGUGGUCAGUGGUUAACUUGAUCCUGCACCCAGGGCACUCACUCGGCUCCUGCUUGUUUCUGGUCCUCUUCGUGUCAAAUGUCCCGGUUUCCAGGACAGCUUCCAGAGUGCUGGACGCGGUGGGGCACUGGCUGUGUGCAGACUCAGGAUACACACUCAGGUGACUCUCCAGAGGGAUCAUGAAGAUCUUGCGUGUCAACUCUGAAGCCCUGCAGCACGUGCCUAGCCAGCUGCAAGACCUUUUCGGAGGAGCCACCAGCAGGCUUCCUGAAGGCCAGGCUGCAGCUCUCAGGUGUCUGCCAUUGUCUCAGUCCCUGCCCCGGGUCUGCCACUUGGCACACAAUAGGCCUUGUACAUAUUUGUCAGAUGAGUGAAGAGUGAGGUCACUCACUACUGCUCCGGGUACACGGCCGAGCUAGACAGCCACAGUUCAGAGAUCCUUUGAGUCUUUGAGCCAAAAGUAUUUUGAGCCAAUCCCAACUUCCCCCUGAAUGCCAUCCCCGGAACGAUACUGAAGAGGUAUACCAGGAAAGCCCUGUGAUUAUGUGAAGGUGGACAUUAUGUGUCUCCACAGGCCUGCAGCCAAGCUGAAAACAGUUCUCAUGACUAUGUCUCAUCCCGGAAAGAAGAUCCUUCAUGGCAUGGUCGCUUUCAUCUCAUCAUGAGCUGAGUGUCCAAUACUUACUGAGAUGUGGUCCCCACGUUAAAGAACUUUAGAAAUUGUAAGGCCGCGUGCACCCCUGCCCAUACCUUGAUGUUCCAACCCCCUUGGGUACCAAGAAGGACAGGAAGAUAGAGAAAAUGAUGGUGACGUGGGAGGAGGAAGGAGCCCCUCACCCAGGCUUAAGCUCCUCACCAACUAAGGAUCAAGAACUCCAGCACCAUUAGCAACAUUUGCUUAAGGUCAUUCCCCCUUCCCAGCUAGAAGCCUACAAUUUUCUAGGACUCUAACCAGAAGCCUCAUUUACAGUAAAAGACACAUUCUAAAUCCCUUGUGCAACUCCAGUGGCUUCUGGUUUUUACCUUAUCAGAUUAUAAUCCCACCCUAUAAUCCAUUUACCAAAAAGAAAAAAGAAAAAAGAAAAAAAAAGGCUUCUUAGCAACCUUUGAGAUGUACUGAGAACCGCCGAAAGCGUCUGCACAGCAAAUGCUGGCGCUUGACUUGACCCUUUCUUAAGCCCACACCACACUCUUUAGUGUGCCUUAUUCUUUCCUUAAAUAAAACCUUCCUCUUUGUUUUUAAUAAACCCAA